rnacentral:rRNA from 1 species
AAUCAACGCUGGCGGCGUGCCUCAGACAUGCAAGUCGAACGCGAAAUUUCCCUUCGGGGAGAAAGUAGAGUGGCGCACGGGUGAGUAACACGUAGGUAAUUUGCCUUUGGGUGGGGGAAUAACUCAGGGAAACUUGAGCUAAUACCGCAUAAUGCAGCGGCUCGACAUCGAGACAGUUGUUAAAGCGGGGGAUUGGAGCAAUCCGACCUCGCGCCUAAAGAGAAGCCUGCGGCAGAUUAGCUAGUUGGUAAGGUAAUGGCUUACCAAGGCGACGAUCUGUAACCGGCCUGAGAGGGCGGUCGGUCACACUGACACUGACAUACGGGUCAGACUCCUACGGGAGGCAGCAGUCGGGAAUUUUGGGCAAUGGGCGCAAGCCUGACCCAGCAACGCCGCGUGAAGGAUGAAAUUUUU